GAAAAAGAAGAGGCAAGACCGGCCCCCAGACCGACCAAAGCCCACGUGCCGCCACACCCCACGCCCAGCGCGCCGACGUCCCGCCACUGUCGCUGCCACCAUCAUGCCCAAGAGCUGAAGGGGAUGCUAGAGAUAAAGCCAAGGUGAAGGACGAACCACAGAGAAGAUCCGCGAGGUUGUCUGCUAAACCUGCUCCUCCAAAGCCAGAGCCCACGCCUAAAAGGCCCCUGCAAAGAAGGGAGAGAAGGUACCCAAAGGGAAAAAGGGAAAAGCCGAUGCUGGCAAGGAGGGAAAUAACCCUGCAGGAAAUGGAGAUGCCAAAACAGACCAGGCACAGAAAGCUGAAGGUGCUGGAGAUGGCAAGUUG
rnacentral:lncRNA from 1 species